rnacentral:rRNA from 1 species
UACGUAGGGGGCAAGCGUUGUCCGGAAUCAUUGGGCGUAAAGAGCGUGUAGGCGGCCCGGUAAGUCCGCUGUGAAAGUCCAGGGCUCAACCCUCGGAUGCCGGUGGAUACUGUCGGGCUUGAGUACGGAAGAGGCGAGUGGAAUUCCCGUGGUGUAGCGGUGAAAAUGCGCAGAUAUCAGGAGGAACACCAAUUGCGAAGGCAGCUCGCUGGGACGUUACUGACGCUGAGACGCGAAAGCGUGGGGAGCAAACAGG